UCAGGUCUACUUUGGGGAAGGAGUGGGCCAUGUCUACUUCGGGGAAGGAGUGGGCGGAGUCAGGUCUACUUCAGGGAAGAGGUGGGCGGAGUCAGGUCUACUUCGGGGAAGAAGUGGGCGGAGUCAGGUCUACUUUGGGGAAGUGGUGGGCGGAGGUCAGGUCUACUUUGGGGAAGAAGUGGGCGGAGUCAGGGGAGGAUUCAAACAAAAGAUGGCAGCAGAUAAAGAUACAAAUGAAAAUACACAAAAUAAAAUGUCAAAUAACAUUUAAAAAUGUAAAGAAAUGUAGACAGAAUAAACCAACCAUGUAAAGAUACUGUGUUAUUAAGAGUUGACGUUGGACUGGUAUAUGAAUUCAGUGAACUAGCUAUCUCAGUUGGCUUGUUAGCUACAUGAAGCAGACGUUGUUCAGUGAUACCGAAAGCUAGCUAGCCAGCUAGAAGUUAACUCUGUUACCUCUGAC
ensembl:lncRNA